UAUGUGAUCGUCUCUCGCAUAUCAAUAAGCGGAGGAAAAGAAACUAACAAGGAUUCCCUUAGUAACGGCGAGUGAAGCGGGAAGAGCUCAAAUUUGAAAUCUUCAAGGUUUUACCUUGACGAAUUGUAGUUUAAAGAAGUGUUUUCUGUUGAAGUUUUGGUAAAAGUUCUUUGGAAUAGGACAUCAUAGAGGGUGAGAAUCCCGUAUUUGACCAUUAUUUUCAGCUGUGUGAUACACUUUCAAAGAGUCGGAUUGUUUGGGAAUGCAGUCCAAAAUGGGUGGUAAAUUUCAUCUAAAGCUAAAUAUUGGCGAGAGACCGAUAGCGAACAAGUACCGUGAGGGAAAGAUGAAAAGAACUUUGAAAAGAGAGUUAAACAGUACGUGAAAUUGUCAAAAGGGAAGCGUUUGACACCAGUGUUGUUUUCUCGAAAAUCAAUUAAAAAGAGUUAGAUUUUGUUGUGUAUUGACCUUAACAGCUUGCAUUUCAAUUUUCUUGCUUUUUUUAAUGCACUUUUCGUUUAACAAGUCAACAUCAGUUUCUUUUGUUGUAAAAAGGUCAUUGGAAGGCGGCUUUCUUUUCGGAGAAAGUGUUUAUAGCCUUUGACUCCUGCAAUCGGAGAGACUGAGGUCUGCAGCGUAGAUCCUUCGGGGUUAGAUACAUUUGUGCUAAGUUAUAGCUUUUUAUAGACAACUUGUUGACUAUGAUUAGUCUUGUAGCUUACUCGCUUAUGCUAUUUUACCUACGCUUAGGAUGUUGAAGAUGUAGCACAUCAU
rnacentral:rRNA from 1 species